rnacentral:rRNA from 1 species
AACGUAGGAGGCAAGCGUUAUCCGGAUUUACUGGGCGUAAAGCGCAUGUAGGCGGUUGGGUAAGUGGCGUGUGAAAGCUCCCGGCUAAACUGGGAGAGGACAGGUCAGACUGCCGAACUGGAGUCCGAUAGAGGAGCGUAGAAUUCCGGGUGUAGCGGUGAAAUGUGUAGAGAUCCGGAGGAAUACCAGUGGCGCAAGCGGCGCUCUGGGUCGGGACUGACGCUGAGAUGCGAAAGCGUGGGGAGCGAACGGG